ACGAACGCUGGCGGCGUGCUUAACACAUGCCAGUCGCACGGAAAGGCCCUGCUUUUGUGGGGUGCUCGAGUGGCGAACGGGUGAGUAACACGUGAGUAACCUGCCCUUGACUUUGGGAUAACUUCAGGAAACUGGGGCUAAUACCGGAUAGGAGCUCCUGCUGCAUGGUGGGGGUUGGAAAGUUUCGGCGGUUGGGGAUGGACUCGCGGCUUAUCAGCUUGUUGGCGGGGUAGUGGCUUACCAAGGCUUUGACGGGUAGCCGGCCUGAGAGGGUGACCGGCCACAUUGGGACUGAGAUACGGCCCAGACUCCUACGGGAGGCAGCAGUGGGGAAUAUUGCACAAUGGGCGGAAGCCUGAUGCAGCAACGCCGCGUGCGGGAUGACGGCCUUCGGGGUGUAAACCGCUUUCGCCUGUGACGAAGCGUGAGUGACGGUAAUGGGUAAAGAAGCACCGGCUAACUACGUG
rnacentral:rRNA from 1 species